rnacentral:rRNA from 1 species
CGCGUAGGCGGCUCUUCAAGUUAGGCGUGAAAGGCCUGGGCUCAACCUGGGAACUGCGCUUAAGACUGGCGAGCUUGAGUCCGGGAGAGGGUGGUGGAAUUCCCAGUGUAGAGGUGAAAUUCGUAGAUAUUGGGAGGAACACCAGUGGCGAAGGCGGCCACCUGGCCCGGAACUGACGCUGAGGCGCGAAAGCGUGGGGAGCAAACA